rnacentral:rRNA from 1 species
UCGCACGAGAAAGGGUAGCAAUACCUGAGUAAAGUGGCGCACGGGUGAGUAACACGUGACUAAUCUACCCUCGAGUGGGGAAUAACUGAGAGAAAUCUUAGCUAAUACCGCAUAACACUUACGAGUCAAAGCAGCAAUGCGCUUGGGGAGGAGGUCGCGGCCGAUUAGCUAGUUGGCGGGGUAAUGGCCCACCAAGGCGAUGAUCGGUAUCCGGCCUGAGAGGGCGCACGGACACACUGGAACUGAAACACGGUCCAGACUCCUACGGGAGGCAGCAGUGGGGAAUUUUGCGCAAUGGGGGAAACCCUGACGCAGCAACGCCGCGUGGAGGAUGAAAUAUCUUGGUAUGUAAACUCCUUUCGAUGGGGAAGAUAAUGACGGUACCCAUAGAAGAAGCCCCGGCUAACUUCGUGCCAGCAGCCGCGGUAAUACGAGGGGGGCAAGCGUUGUUCGGAUUUAUUGGGCGUAAAGGGUGCGUAGGCGGUUUGGCAAGUCUUAUGUGAAAUCUUCGGGCUCAACCCGAAGCCUGCAUAAGAAACUGCCGGGCUUGAGUAUUGGAGAGGUGAGUGGAAUUUCCGGUGUAGCGGUGAAAUGCGUAGAUAUCGGAAGGAACACCUGUGGCGAAAGCGGCUCACUGGACAAUAACUGACGCUGAUGCACGAAAGCUAGGGGAGCAAACAGGAUUAGAUACCCUGGUAGUCCUAGCCCUAAACGAUGAUUGCUUGGUGU